AUUGAACGCUGGCGGCAGGCCUAACACAUGCAAGUCGAGCGGAGCGGCGGACGGGUGAGUAAUGCCUAGGAAUCUGCCUGGUAGUGGGGGAUAACGUCCGGAAACGGGCGCUAAUACCGCAUACUAUCAGAUGAGCCUAGGUCGGAUUAGCUAGGUGGUGGGGGAAAGGCCUACCAAGGGGACGAUCCGUAACUGGUCUGCGGGGGUGAUCAGUCACACUGGAGCUGGGACACGGUCCAGAAUCCUUCGGGAGGGAGGAGUGGGGAAUAUUGGACAAUGGGCGAAAGCCUGAUCCAGCCAUGCCGGGGGGGGUGAAAAGGUCUUCGGGUUGUAAAGCACUUUAAGUUGGGAGACGGUACCAACAGAAGAAGCCCCGGCUAACUUCGUGCCAGCAGCCGCGGUAAUAC
rnacentral:rRNA from 1 species